UGUGUAUUUUUUCAUUAUGAGUUUAUCUUAUGUCUUCCUAAAUAUUUGAAGAAUUUUAAGGGUAUUUUAUUGAUUAAUUUUAUUUGUUUAUAUAUAUAUUUAAAAGCAAUUUAAGGAAUAUUUAGAUACUUUUUUUUAUUAUCGAUUUGGAUUGGAUGGGUGGGUUUUUUUGGCUGUGCUUAUGAGUGCAAGCCAAUGAUUUUCUCGAUGGGAAGGAGAUAAUAAAAACGAGAAAAGGGACACAAAGCCAUAUAUUUUUCCAGCUGGGUUUCUAUAUGUGUAUUUUGCUCUUGCAUAUUUUCAUUUUCUUCCAAAGCAGGUUACUAGAUAGAUUUUGUUUUUGGUGAUUGGAAUGAAUUUAUUUAUUGUUAUUAUUGUUAUUAUGUUUAUUUUGUGAUUACAAAGAACAUGUCAUCAGAUAUUUUAGCAGGGAUAAAGAUUAUAAGAACUUGACACAGAGGUAUUAGACUUUCCUUCUUUCAAAUCAAUUUUUGAGUUUCCUGUAAGCUACCAUCAAGUAUUAUAAAAAUAUUAUUUUGGGGGAAGUACUCAUAACAAAAGUUAAAAAACUUACAGAUUUGUUUAGUCACAAGAAGUAAUGAAGUAAAAAAUAAUAAUAAAAGCAUAAAAGUUACAUAUGCUUUGAAAUAUUCUAAAUUGGAGUCUGUAAACUCUGUAAAAAUAAUUUUUAGCAUUUUGCAAGUAGCGAGAUUUUAAUUUUAUUUUAAAAAAAGACUAAAUGACCCAUACAAGAGAAAACUAAAACAUUCAUUGCUCUUUCUCCAAUGACCCAUACAUCUUUAGCCACCAAAGUUUCGAUUAGACUGUAUAAAGUGAUAAUAGAGAUGCAGCUUAUCCAAGCCCUUUCUUUUUAUAAAUAGCAAAGCAAGAGACAUACCAAUUAAGAAUCACAAUGACAGUGUUCUUGCAUGUAUAUCCCAAUUGGAGUAUAGUUAUUGUUUUUGUUGUUUCUUGUUUGUGUAGUUUUAAUCACUUCAAGUGUUCACUUAUUUCCUCUGAGUUUGUUUCAUAUUGAUUUUGUGGUGGCCUUAUCUCUCAGCUAACAAAGUGCAUACAUGGGACUUGAAUUAACACUAAUGUAUUAUUUUUAAGUAGCAUGAUGAGUACUAACCAUGAGAUAAACUUAAUUUUUUUCUAUAUAUAUUCCAGGUAUGGCAUGAUAAGAUCAUUGAAUUUGUUGUUCUUAAUUAUUUCAAACAUGUUGGAUUUAUUUUGUGACUAUAGGUUGUUGGUCUAAUGUUCAUGCUCUCACUAUAACUAUUUGACUAUAUAUUAUUAUAUAAGUAAUAUUGGUUUACAAGCUCACAGCUUGUAUUUUGUUUGUCCAUAUUACUACAUAAAUUUUGUUUUUGAAAAUAAUAGUUAGAUAAUUUAUAAAUGGACAAUUUUAACUAUAAAAUCUAAAUGCUCUCCAUGUGUUUGUUACAUUGUUUCAUAACUGUCAAUUAUCAUUUCAUGUUCUUGUUGUACUUGUCUCUUUUCCAUAGGUAUUAUAUAUUUGAGUUGGUAUUAGUAUUAACAAUAUUAGUGUUGAACAAUUGAUUUUACAAUUCAAGUUAUAUAUAUAAAUACAUAUGGAUGUUCAUGUUCAUCUUAUACGAUACUUAAUUCCAUAUUGUGCAGUUCUUGUGUUCUUUUGACUAUUUAGCCUUUAGUUUGGUUAAGUUUACCAACUAUAUAUUUAAUAGAUAUAUAAAUAUAAUUAAAAAGUACACUCAGAGUUUUGCUGAUUGCCCUGUAUUAAUAAUUUUUUUAAAAAAAAUAUUGCAUAACUAAAUGGUACAAGACUAUGGUCAAACUCUGCUAUCUUUCCAUUACUACAUUUUUACUAAAAACAAAAAAUUCAGAUGGAGAAGACAACAUGGGUGAUUAGUUUAAAGAUCUGCAAAUAUUUACAUUUACUUAAUUUUAUUUCUGAUGAGGUUUGGAUAAAUUUAAGAUGCAUUACUACACCAAAUACCUAUUUUCAUAACAUAUGAAUAUAAUAGUAAUGAAAAAGUAUUAUGAUAUAUAUAUAUAUGUGUGGCAAAGUAAAAAAAAUGGCGGUAUGAUUUUGGGAGCCCGCGCUACACUAUAACUUGUAAAAGUUAUACUUUUAUCCCAAUUCUUUUUAUUUACAUUGUUUGACUAAGUCUGAGAACGACUCCUCUUCUCCGUUCAUCUUCGCCUAUAACUUCUGGGAUCGACUUCUCCGUUCAUUUGCCUAUAACUACUGGGAUCGACUUCUGUGUUCAUUCGCAAUCUUCGCCAAAAGUUAAUCAUUGUUCGACUCCUCCGUUCAUCUUCACCUACGGUGUCUCCGAAGUUAGUCCAUUGCUCUGAGUACAACUUCGGCUCUUCGGCGUUUCCAAUCGUUUGGCUUUGUCUUCGGCGUUUCCAAUCGUUUAUAGAGGCUGAUACUAGGUGGCUAUAUGAAGCAAUAGCGUGAUAUGCUUGGUUUAAUCCAUAGCAGGCAUAGCUGCAUAUAACAACCACAAGCUAAAAAAAGAAGCUUCUGGACACACCACUGAAGCUGUUGAACGUACCACUGAUGAUACAGAAAAUGCUGCUGAGUCUGUACCACUGGCCACGUAUGUGGGUCCCAACAAGUAGAACUACAUUAGGAGCAGUCUUCCAAGUUAAGAUGUGACAGGCGAAAUAGAAAAUGUUACUUAAUUUUGAAGGCUUUGUGUUGGGUAGCUGUAGAAUAUUUUGUGCUGAAAGUAGUAACUUUUCAAUAUAUUGAAUAUUUAAGACUACUUGAAUACUUAAAGAACAUUUUGUUGUUGAUGACAGUGUUGAAUGUUUUAAAAUAAUUUGUGGAUUGUUAAUACAAUGUUGAAUGUCUUUACUUUUUGUUA